AGCCCCGUAGCGCGUAGGACUUGGUGCGCAGGACUUCAAAUCCUGAGGUUGCGGGUUCGAGUCCCGCCGGUGGUU
rfam:Gregarina niphandrodes unplaced genomic scaffold scaffold00092, whole genome shotgun sequence.